ensembl:snRNA U6 U6 spliceosomal RNA
GUGCUCACUUGGGCAGCACACGUCCUAAAAUUGGAAAGGUAUGGAAAAAAUUAGCAUGGCUCCUGCGCAAAGAUGACACGCAAAUUCUUGAAGUGUUCCAUAUUUUU